GAUGAACGCUGGCGGCGUGCCUAACACAUGCAAGUCGAACGAAGCAUUUUGAAUGAAGUUUUCGGAUGGAUUUUGAGAUGACUGAGUGGCGGACGGGUGAGUAACACGUGGAUAACCUGCCUCACACUGGGGGACAACAGUUAGAAAUGACUGCUAAUACCGCAUAAGCGCACAGUACCGCAUGGUACAGUGUGAAAAACUCCGGUGGUGUGAGAUGGAUCCGCGUCUGAUUAGCCCAGUUGCGGGGUAACGGCCCACCAAAGCGACGAUCAGUAGCCGACCUGAGAGGGUGACCGGCCACAUUGGGACUGAGACACGGGCCCAAACUCCUACGGGAGGCAGCAGUGGGGAAUAGUUGCACAAUGGGCGAAAGCCUGAUGCAGCGACGCCGCGUGA
rnacentral:rRNA from 1 species